rnacentral:rRNA from 1 species
GUAGGUGGCAGAGUAUGUCUGUAGUGAAAGCGUGUGGCUCAACCAUAUACACAUUACAGAAACUGCUCAGCUAGAGGACGAGAGAGGUUAUUGGAAUUCCUAGUGUAGGAGUGAAAUCCGUAGAUAUUAGGAGGAACACCGAUGGCGUAAGCAGAUAACUGGCUCGUUCCUGACACUAAGGCACGAAAGCGUGGGUAGCAAACGGGAUUAGAUACCCCGGUAGUCCACGCCGUAAACGAUGAAUGCUAGCUGUUAUGGGUAUCGACCCCCGUAGUAGCGAAGCUAACGCGUUAAGCAUUCCGCCUGUGGAGUACGGUCGCAAGACUAAAACAUAAAGGAAUUGACGGGGACCCGCACAAGCGGUGGAGCGUGUUGUUUAAUUCGAUGGUAAACGAAGAACCUUACCCAGGCUUGACAUCCAUGGAAUUUUUCCGAAAGGAAAGAGUGCUUUAUUGAACCAUGUGACAGGUGUUGCAUGGCCGUCGUCAGCUCGUGUCGUGAGAUGUUUGGUUAAGUCCAUCAACGAGCGCAACCCUUAUGGUCUGUUGUAUUUUUCAGGCCAGACUGCCCCGGUAACGGGGAGGAAGGGGGGGAUGAUGUCAGGUCAGUAUUUCCCUUACGUCCUGGGCUAGAAACACGAUACAAUGGCUAGUACAAUGCGCAGCGAAGCCGCGAGGUGGAGCAAAUCGCAUCAAAGCUAGUCUCAGUUCGGAUUGGAGGCUGAAACUCGCCUCCAUGAAGUCGGAAUCGCUAGUAAUCGCAAAUCAGCAAGUUGCGGUGAAUACGUUCCCGGGUCUUGUACACACCGCCCGUCAAACCAUGAAAGUGACCAACACCCGAAGUCCGAUUCGUCGGCCUAAGGUGGGGGGCAUGAUUGGGGUU